CCAUACCAGCCGGGGGAGUAGCGGGGCCCUGCACCUGAAAUCCGCUAUACGCAGGGGUGGAUCCCUUUUUUGAGGACCGAAGCAAUGCGGUCCGGCGCGUAUUCUUUUGUGUUGACGAGUGGGUCUUGCGCAAUCGGUGGCCGUGAACCAUGUCAGGUGGGGAACCAAGCAGCAUUAAGCGGUUCUCCCGAUGUGCCGCGAGGGUGCCUGCUUUGAGCAAAAGGUGCGAAUGCCGCGCAAAGGUGACGUUCGAUUGAAAGGUGUAUGG
rnacentral:SRP_RNA from 1 species